rnacentral:rRNA from 1 species
AUUGAACGCUGGCGGCAGGCUUAACACAUGCAAGUCGAGCGGAGAGAGGUAGCUUGCUACUGAUCUUAGCGGCGGACGGGUGAGUAAUGCUUAGGAAUCUGCCUAUUAGUGGGGGACAACAUUUCGAAAGGAAUGCUAAUACCGCAUACGUCCUACGGGAGAAAGCAGGGGAUCUUCGGACCUUGCGCUAAUAGAUGAGCCUAAGUCGGAUUAGCUAGUUGGUGGGGUAAAGGCCUACCAAGGCGACGAUCUGUAGCGGGUCUGAGAGGAUGAUCCGCCACACUGGGACUGAGACACGGCCCAUACUCCUACGGGAGGCAGCAGUGGGGAAUAUUGGACAAUGGGCGGAAGCCUGAUCCAGCCAUGCCGCGUGUGUGAAGAAGGCCUUAUGGUUGUAAAGCACGUUAAGCGAGGAGGAGGCUACUUUAGUUAAUACCUAGAGAUAGUGGACGUUACUCGCAGAAUAAGCACCGGCUAACUCUGUGCCAGCCGCCGCGGUAACAC